rnacentral:rRNA from 1 species
AAAGUCGUAACAAGGUUUCCGUAGGUGAACCUGCGGAAGGAUCAUUAUCGUAUAACAAACAACCAAAGGGGCUGUCGCUGAAAACCUGUGCACGCCCCUUUGAGCUUGCAAAUCCAUCUCACCUUGUGCAUCACCGCGUGGGCUUUGCCUACGUUUUUCAUACAAACCUCAUUUAAAAGUUUUAGAAUGUAUUAUUAUUAUUAUGAUUAAUACAACUUUCAACAACGGAUCUCUUGGCUCUCGCAUCGAUGAAGGACGCAGCGAAAUGUGAUACGUAAUGUGAAUUGCAGAAUUCAGYGAAUCAUCGAAUCUUUGAACGCAUCUUGCACCCUUCGGUUAUUCCGAGGGGUACGCCUGUUUGAGUGWCGUGAAAAACCCUCAACCUUCUUCAUUUCUUCUAGAYCUGGGGAAAGGCUUGGACUUUGGRGGYUACUGCUGGCGUCUCUAUSGAGGCUAGCUCCUCUUAAAUGAAUUAGCAGGGUCCCUUUUUGCCGGAUCCCCUUGAUGUGAUAAGGUUCUCCUACAUCUAAGGGGUUUCGGCUUUUGUAAGGCCUGCUUAUAAUCAAAGUAUAUAUAYACAUAUAUGUAACCCUUUGACCUCAAAUCAGGCGAGACUACCCGCUGAACUUAAGCAUA